rnacentral:lncRNA from 1 species
UAAAGAAAAAUAUGAAAUCUGCAUUUGGAAAUUGGAAUAGGAUUUGAGUCUGCUCACUUGCCAGGAACAAAGUUUGUGGCGAAGGCCCAAGCAUUGUUGUUAACUGGAUCUGCAAGGUGGUCAGCCAAAUUCUCCAAAGGUCCCUUACCAGUUACAAUUGCUUGAACAAAGAAUCCAAACAUGGAGAACAUAGCCAAUCUCCCGUUCUUAAGUUCCUUUACCUUCAAUUCAGCAAAUGCCUCUGGAUCAUCAGCAAGUCCGAGUGGGUCGAAGCUUCCACCUGGGUACAAUGGGUCAACAACCUCUCCUAGUGGUCCACCGGCAAUACGGUAACCCUCUACAGCACCCAUCAAUAUAACUUGUGUAGCCCAGAUGGCUAGAAUGCUCUGAGCAUGUACCAAGCUAGGGUUACCCAAGUAGUCCAAUCCACCCUCGCUGAAAAUUUGUGCACCAGCCUUGAACCAUACUGCCUCACCGAACUUGACCCCAUUGCGGGAAAGUAGUUCAGGGAAUACACAACCAAGAGCUCCAAGCAUUGCCCACCUGCUGUGAAUGACUUCGAGUUCACGAUUCUUAGCAAAGGUCUCGGGAUCAGCUGAAAGCCCAGCAGUGUCCCAACCGUAGUCACCAGGGAACUCGCCAGUAAGGUAAGAUGGUGCCUCACCAGAGAAUGGUCCCAAGUACUUUACUCUAUCAGGUCCAUACCAUGGGCUAGCUGAGACUGAAGUCUUUGGCUUGGCAGCAGUCUUUCUCAUGGAGAUCCUUCCCUCACCGAAAAGCUCAGAUGUUGAUGGGACAAGUUUCACUGCCUUUCCAGCAAAAGAAGAAGAUGAUAGAGCCAUGGUUGAAGCAGCCAUGCUGAAGGGGGCGGGCUUGAGACUAUAGAACAGCAAGAAUUUGUAUGUUUGUUUACUAGAGCUGUGAUUGUUGAUCUUGUUAUUGUGUUACUUUUAUAGGAACUACAGAGUAAAGUAGGCCUUAUCCAUAGAUAUCUAAAUUUCUCUUCUCAUUGGUUGAAUGGAUUCAAGCUCUUCUUUCUCUAUCAGUGUAUAUAACUAGUUGGCACUCUGUGAUCCACCAAUAGUUUCAAAUUAGUUUCCAUUUGAUUCAACCUCAAAAUGCCAGUUUGGAUUUUUUUGAUUUAUCUGUAACCAAUACGGUUCCGACAUGUGUCGAUAUGAGAUUACCAUUCAUAUCUUUGGCCUCAUGGUUUUGAAAUGUUGUUAUACAAAACAUUUAUGAUUUACCAAAAGGAAAUAUAUAUUGUUGUUGCAAAUAUGAUUCUCUAUACCUCAUGGUUGUCAUCUAGGCUACUUUGCUUACAAUGAAAAUGGAUUUAGUAUAGAUUGUGCCAACUCCUCUUUCUUCGGAAAAGUGAAGUGGCGUAAAUAUAAUGACGUGGACCAAAUCGAUUAUGCCAAAUCCUCUUUCUUAUUCCACGUAGCUUGUUUUCGUUCAAACGUUCAUUUCUUUCUUCCAAGAUUUUUCUCUUAUUUUUCAAGUAUUCAUAACUGUGAGAAAGAUCUUUGAUCACCUUUUCCAAGCUUCGGAAAUUUUUUGGUGGAUCAAUCCAACGGAAAAAACUACAUGGCUUGAAUUUGUAAUUUUUGCACCCCAUAAAUCUCCUCCCAGGAUUUUGGAGUGUCCUAGACGUUUUAAUUGAAGCUCGAUAUCCACAUUCACAUUCGCAUGUCUCGUAUGAAUUAACCAAGUUGGAAGACAUAGUUUAACUUACUAGUUUGUGAGUGUACUACUAGUAAUUAACAAGCUGCAGUCUGAUACCAACAAAAGAAAAAACAGGUAGUUUAAGUUAAAAUAUCAUGGGCAUUUCAUGCUCUACUACUGUGAUAGGGAAGGGAAGAAAAACAAUAUGGUAGUAAGAAAGCUGAGCAUAUAUGAAUAUUUCAAUGCUAAUAAUCACACAAAUAUAGUUGUUUAUAACUCAUUUGUUGUGUAUUGAACAAUUGGUAGCAGAACCGGAAGAUAUCGAGUGAGUUGUGAAUGACAAUUUUGUUUAUUUAGAGCCAUUUGUUGUGCAUUGAGCCCAUAAACAACAUAUUCGUUUUGUUGCGUAAUUCGAUAAGAAUGGUAUGGGUAUAGGGUUGUAUAAAUUAGUCUUUUAAACAGCAAUUUGUUUUGAUUCAAUCGAUCGUCAAAGAAUGCAGAGAAUGAAAGAGAGGAGAGUUAGGAAACAUGAGGAUUAUGCUGCCUAAGGGAAUUAGGUGCAACACUUGUGAGUAAUGCAUGUAUCAAGGGACAAAGAGGAAUGCCCGAAGAGAGCGAUUGAUUAUGGGAAACAUCAACAUUUAUAAGUAUUGUUUCAAGUGUGAUAAUAGCAGAACUUGUUAUAAAAUCCGAACCGCCAAACUUGGAUUACAUUAUUGAAAGUGGUGAGACGGCUUGGCUUGAUCAAGAGGAGCAGAGAACAGGGCAGCAGCAUGAUACCAACUCUGCGGCAGCCAACCAGAGGACAGAGUUGCAGGAUGAUACCAACUCCGAAGCAGCCCACCACACGUAGGAGUUAUGAGCUACUUUGUAGAUGACGAAGCAACGUUCUAGAGUAGUAGGUUUUAAAUUAGUUCCCAAAAGUUAUGUUUAGGUGAAUUGUUUGAGGAUGUAUGAAGUUUUAGUUUUGAAGAUUAAUCAGCUACAUGGUUUGUUCUAUUGUAAGCAUUACUAAAUUUGACUUGGUUGAAUCUGCUGAUCACUGGAUAAUCCUCUUCUAUACAUUUUUACAUGAUAUGAUGCUCUGUAAUUGUUUUGAGUACAGGUUAAACAAUAGUGUAGCACGCCUUGAUUAGGAGUUAGGACUAGCGGAAGUUCAAGCUCACUUUGUGAGCAAUCCCAGUGAUGUGCUCCCAGACGAAAAGUAGAACUCAAUCAGGUGAGGCCUACGAAUGGGCUUUUAAGUUUAGUGUGAGAUUGGGAAUGUGUCGCUCUAAAUGUUGGAUUAAUGCCAAACCUACUCUAAUGCAAUCACUUGCUGACUUGCAUGCUCACAAAUAGCAAGUGUUGUCAAGCAACGCUUACAUUCUGCAGCGGGAUACGAUUCUAGUUUGAAAUAUCAGCAAGUAAAGCAAUGAAGUACUCAUUAAUAUGUGUAUGUGCAACCUGCCUUGAACCUGCAAUUCUACGUCAUAAAAGAUAGCAGUAGUUUAUAGUUGCACAGGUAAUACAGGACACAGUAUGUAUAAUGUUUUUCAUCCUUGUGCAUUUGUCCAAACUAAACGUUUAGCCGGUGUAAUUUUAUUGACUAUGCAUCACAAAUUUAUUCUACGUACGCUCUAUAUUUUUCCUAAUAUAUUUCAUACUGUUGAUAUAUUAGAUAUUGGUGGCAAACUGGCAAUCCCCUUCCCCAGAAAUAUUUCAGAGAAUUUAGAAGUAUGUCGACAGUAAAAUUUAAAGUUUCAUCUGGCCCUGAAAAACCUCUGUUUCAUUAGAUACAUUAUUACUCAGAUAAUAUUGCUAGCAUUGAAGAUGGUAUCUAGUAGGUUAAGAUUAACAAUAGAAACUUUGAGAAGUAAUUCUAUUACAUAUGUGGAUCUUCUAUCAAUAAUAGGAACAUAAAAGAUUGAUUUAUAUGAUUUCUUUUUAAUUUGAUUUCCCAGGGACGAGAUUUUAUAUUCAUUUCAAUUUCAGAAAAAAAAAAUAUCUAUAUUUGGAAGAGUCUCAGGAAUUUUUGGUUUCGGGAAAGCGAGCCAAUUUCAAUUUCAUUUGCUUAAAUGAUUGUAUAAUUUUUUUUUUUUUGCACACAAAUAGGGAGUUAUAUUAAUCAAAGAAUGUUACAGGAGAUAUGAUACAACCAGUCCUAGAACCAAAAUUAGGCAAAUCUAAAGUAGGUUUUGCUAGGACAUUCAGUAACAGUUACAAAAUCAGGUUUUUGUGUGGACCAAAGAGCUUCCCCUAGGUCCAGUUGAGCUCCUCUUUUUGCAGCUGCAUCGGCUGCAAAAUUUGCCUCCCUGUAAGUGUAUGUGAGUUUCCACUUGUUCAUCAUGUUUGUAGCUAGCCUCCAUCUAGCUGAAAGAUGCCACGGAAUACUUCCAGCCAUUGCCAUAGAGUCACCAUUGCCAUAGAGUCAGCUUCAAACCAUACAUCUAGCCAUCCCUGAUCACAAGCCACCUCAGCAGCUGUAACCAAUGCUUGACAUUCUGCCACAUAGCUUGUAGUGACACCUAAUCCUUUAGCUAGAACACCAAGGAUUACCAUAUCAGAGUUUCUACAAACAAUUCCUAGCAAUGAUUGUAUAAGAUUUCUCUUUCUUCUCCAUAUUUCCUUCUUGUCAGUUGAAUGGCAAUGCUCAACACUGAACAUACCAGUACCCCAAUUAGCACAAGGAGCUGGAGUGUCACAUACAUAGCAAUGGCACUGCAAUUAUAAAAAUUACAAAUCGGUAAGUAGUUUAAAUUGAAUUACUAGCUAGUAACAAUACUAAACGUAAAGAUGAGUUUCUCGCAUCAGUUAUUUAUGUUACCAGACCACAGUACUUCACAUGCGGAGUAGUAUCGAAAGGAAGAUGUCGUGGAUCACAUGCGGAGUAGUAUCGAAAGGAAGAUGUCGUGGAUGAGGGUAGUCUCUGCAUGCUACCUGUAAUAAUAACAAAACUCAAUUAAUUCAAGUUAUUUAGCAAAAAUAUACAUAAUGCUCCCUACGGGAAAAUCCAAAUGGUUGCAUGAUCCUCAUUAUAUAUACCUGACCCUUUUCGGCAAGAACUGCCAACUCAUCGGAACCUUUUCCGGUAUUAUUAGCAACUUGAACUGGCUUAUCAGGGUCACCAUAUAUCCAAAAUUAAACAAUCAUCAUCAUUCCUCCCAGAAUAAGACUUAUUAGUCAUUUUUCUUUGUAAUGUGUCGUCUGAGCUUAGGUCAAUGAUCUCAACUCUUGGUGCCAUAGGCCAUAGCCAUAGCCAUAUACCUGUAAAGCUCUAGGUUUCUAGGGUUUUUGCUUUUCACACAAUCGUUUCAGUUUUCACUUUUGACAGAAAAGAAUUGGAUAUAUUGAGAUGAAAUUGGAUCUUUAGUUGGGCCUCCAUUGCUCUAUGGAUUUUAAAAAUAAAUCUCAGGCCCAUGGAUCUCCCUUUUCUUUGAAUUCUUGUUGCAUUAUGGUCUGUAAAUAUGUAAAUCACAUUUUAAUUUGAAUAUAAUUCCUCUUUAAAUUUCACCAUAAGCCAUGAAGCCCCUUACAGAAAAAGCUCAUUUCAUUAAAUAGGUCACAAGUCACAACUUACAACAAUGUACAACACACACAAAAAUUAACUUGGAAUUGAUCAUUUGCCAGGAACAAAGUUAGUGGCGAAUGCCCAAGCAUUGUUGUUAACUGGGUCUGCAAGGUGGUCAGCAAGAUUUUCCAAAGGUCCCUUACCAGUUACAAUUGCUUGAACAAAGAAUCCAAACAUGGAGAACAUAGCCAAUCUCCCAUUCUUAAG